rnacentral:misc_RNA from 1 species
GAUGAAGAACGCAGCGAAAUGCGAUAAGUAAUGUGAAUUGCAGAAUUCAGUGAAUCUUCGAAUCUUUGAACGCACAUUGCGCCCGCCAGUAUUCUGGCGGGCAUGCCUGUUCGAGCGUCAUUACAACCCUCAGGCCCCCGGGCCUGGCGUUGGGGAUCGGCGGAAGCCCCCUGCGGGCACAACGCCGUCCCCCAAAUACAGUGGCGGUCCCGCCGCAGCUUCCAUUGCGUAGUAGCUAACACCUCGCAACUGGAGAGCGGCGCGGCCACGCCGUAAAACACCCAACUUCUGAAUGUUGACCUCGAAUCAGGUAGGAAUACCCGCUGAACUUAAGCAUAUCAAUAAGCGGAGGA